ACCUGGCGGCGAGUGGCGAACGGGUGAGUAAUAUAUCGGAACGUACCCAAGAGUGGGGGAUAACGUAGCGAAAGUUACGCUAAUACCGCAUACGAUCUAUGGAUGAAAGCAGGGGACCGCAAGGCCUUGUGCUCCUGGAGCGGCCGAUAUCUGAUUAGCUAGUUGGUGGGGUAAAGGCCCACCAAGGCAUCGAUCAGUAGCUGGUCUGAGAGGACGACCAGCCACACUGGAACUGAGACACGGUCCAGACUCCUACGGGAGGCAGCAGUGGGGAAUUUUGGACAAUGGGCGCAAGCCUGAUCCAGCAAUGCCGCGUGAGUGAAGAAGGCCUUCGGGUUGUAAAGCUCUUUUGUCAGGGAAGAAACGGUGAAGGCUAAUAUCCUUUGCUAAUGACGGUACCUGAAGAAUAAGCACCGGCUAACUACGUGCCAGCAGCCGCGGUAAUACGUAGGGUGCAAGCGUUAAUCGGAAUUACUGGGCGUAAAGCGUGCGCAGGCGGUUUUGUAAGUUUGUCGUGAAAUCCCCGGGCUCAACCUGGGAAUGGCGAUGAAGACUGCAAGGCUAGAGUUUGGCAGAGGGGGGUAGAAUUCCACGUGUAGCAGUGAA
rnacentral:rRNA from 1 species